UCCGGUUUGGCACCGGCAGUCUCCCUAGAGUUCCCGACAUGACUCGCUGGCAACUAAGGACAGGGGUUGCGCUCGUUGCGCCACUUAAGGCAACACCUCACGGCACGAGCUGACGACAGCCAUGCACCACCUGUGCAGGCUCCGAAGAGCGCCCGCUUUCACGGGUUUCACCCUGCAUGUCAAGCCCAGGUAAGGUGGGGAUGACGUGUCGUUACCUUA
rnacentral:misc_RNA from 1 species